rnacentral:rRNA from 1 species
AACGAACGCUGGCGGUAGGCCUCAAACAUGCAAGUCUAGGGGGUGUAGCAAUACAUCACCGGCGGACGGGUGCGUAACGCGUGGGAAUAUACCUAUCGAUUCGGAACAACUGAGGGAAACUUCAGCUAAUACCGAAUACGUCCUAACGGAGAAAGAUUUAUCGUCGAUAGAUUAGCCCGCGUUCGAUUAGCUAGUUGGUGGGGUAACGGCCCACCAAGGCGACGAUCGAUAGCUGUUCUGAGAGGAAGAUCAGCCACACUGGGACUGAGACACGGCCCAGACUCCUACGGGAGGCAGCAGUUGGGAAUCUUGGACAAUGGGGGAAACCCUGAUCCAGCCAUGCCGCGUGAGUGAUGAAGGCCUUCGGGUUGGUUAAAACUACUUUCGCGUCACGACGAUAAUGACGGUAGUGCGAGAAGAAGACUCCGGCUACUUACGUGCCAGCAGCCGC